rnacentral:misc_RNA from 1 species
CCCUGCUGCUACUACACAUGUGCAUAUCUUUUUAUCUUUCUUCCUUCCUUUCUUCUUUUCAUUCUCGCCGGAACCUCUAUUUUGGCAACCAAAAUCACAUCCCCUAGUGAUUUGGAAUGCAAAUGUCCCACAAUUUGGAAUGCACGAAACAAGUUGCGAUUCCUGAGGGGUGAGCAAUCUGGUAACUAUAGACAAUACUUGUGAACAAAAUGGCGCACUUUGA